GUUGUUCUUGCAGGCAUUGUAUUAGAAAUGCAUUAGUUGGUUUGUUAUUCUUCUUAUUGAAAUACAUAUGCCUGAAUUAGACCUAGUGGGCGAAUCGGCGUGGUCGGCGGCCGAACCCACUAGGAACUUCUUCUAGUUCUCAUUACCACUAACCCUGCAGAUCCGUACGCGAGCGGAGCGGCGGAGGAUCGAGGCAAGGGAGUCGCGCCGUAGAUAGCGACCCCGGAGUUAUAUAGGCAUACCCUACGCUCGGUGUAUUCAACUUUUGUAUGUUGAAAAAGUAAGGUGAAAACAAUGUAAUGUAAAGAUGAUGUAAUUUAUAUUUUGGUUAAUGGAAAUCGUGACGUAAAUGAAUGUAAAUGAAUGUAAUAGAUUUCUUGUGUUUGAUUCAAAUGUAAUCAAAUGACAUGUAUAUCGAUUGUUUAGUUAGUUUCGAUG
rnacentral:lncRNA from 1 species